UACGUAGGGUGCAAGCGUUAAUCGGAAUUACUGGGCGUAAAGCGUGCGCAGGCGGUUCGGAAAGAAAGAUGUGAAAUCCCAGAGCUUAACUUUGGAACUGCAUUUUUAACUCUCGAACUAGAGUAUGUCAGAGGGGGGUAGAAUUCCACGUGUAGCAGUGAAAUGCGUAGAGAUGUGGAGGAAUACCGAUGGCGAAGGCAGCCCCCUGGGAUAAUACUGACGCUCAUGCACGAAAGCGUGGGGAGCAAACAGGAUUAGAUACCCUGGUAGUCCACGCCCUAAACGAUGUCAACUAGCUGUUGGGGCCUUCGGGCCUUAGUAGCGCAGCUAACGCGUGAAGUUGACCGCCUGGGGAGUACGGUCGCAAGAUUAAA
rnacentral:rRNA from 1 species